AAAAAAGUUUCAGGUACUCUUGACACUCCUGAGAAGACUGUGGAUAGCCAGGGCCCCACACCAGUUUGUACACCAACAUUUUUGGAGAGGCGAAAAUCUCAAGUGGCUGAACUGAAUGAUGAUGAUAAAGAUGAUGAAAUAGUUUUCAAACAGCCCAUAUCCUGUGUAAAAGAAGAAAUACAAGAGACUCAAACACCUACACAUUCACGGAAAAAAAGACGAAGAAGCAGCAAUCAGUGAUUUUCAAUGUAUUAUAUUUCUUUUGAAAAAUAUAAUAUUUUUAUGAGAGUGGACUUUGUAUUUCACUAGGUACAAUGGAAUACAACCUUUGACAAGAUUUUCAGAGGAAAAAUACACUGUUUGGUCAAGUUAAGGAAAGCAGUGUGUAAUUUUGGAUUGCCUGCCCUUGGCUGAAAUACAGGGGUGCAUACCAUCUUGCAGUGGCUUGGCUGACAUUGCCUCUUUGUCCUGGCCUCUAGUUUUCUUUUGAUAUUUCAUAGCUCUCCUUAGUUUACUCUGCCUGGAUAGAAAGUUGACCACUAACUGCAGGUUUAAGUACUAAACUGCAGCCUUUUCUGUCGCCAGCAAUUAAAGACCACCAAUCUUGUUUGUCCAUCUACAUGGUUUGUCGGGGACAUUUAACUCAUGGAGGUGCUUUAGAUUUCAACAUCAGAUGGUUGAAGCUGGAAGUUUAAUUAUAUGUAGAGUGAGAAGGCAGUUCCAGUUUUAGCACAGAUUUGUUUAUGUGUUCAGAUUUUAAUAGAGAUUCAAAAAUGACUCAUUUUUACCAAUAAUGUUAAAUUAGUUUUGGUUGUGCUAGCAUGAAUUAAUAACCACCAUUUUAUACCAGUAUCAUCAGUGAAGAAUUGUAUUUCAAGAUUCAAACAAUAACCAGCAAUUAAACUUUUUUCUACAAUGU
rnacentral:lncRNA from 1 species